CAAAUUGAUGCAAGACCUGUAUCUCCAAAACCUUUAAAUACAGAGGCAAGAAAUCUAACACCUAGCAACCGAGAUUUCGCAGAAAAAGCAAAAAAAAUCCUUCUCCCAUAAUGGGUAACUGUUUCACAAAAACAAAGACUUCAUUUACCAAAGAACAGCAAAGCACGAAACCUCAACAACAAUUGAGCCCAACUUAUCUUCCAACUUCACUACCCAAAGCCACUUCUUCUUCCCAGAAUGGAACAAUUCUGGGAAAACCCAUUUGCGAUUUAACCUCAAUUUAUGAUCUUGAUAAAGAGCUGGGAAGGGGGCAGUUUGGGAUCACCUAUCUUUGCACCGAAAAGGCAACCGGACGGAAGUAUGCUUGCAAGUCAAUAUCAAAGAGGAAGCUUGUGAAUAAGAAGGAUAUUGAAGAUGUUCAGAGAGAGAUAAUGCUCCUUCAGCAUCUCACGGGGCAACCCAAUAUUGUGGAGUUCAAGGGAGCUUACGAGGAUAAGGAGAACGUGCAUUUAGUAAUGGAGCUGUGCUCGGGUGGAGAGCUCUUUGACCGAAUUACCGCAAAGGGAAAUUAUUCAGAGCGUGAAGCGGCGACCAUAGGUCGGCAAAUUGUGAAUGUAGUCCACGUAUGCCACUUCAUGGGGGUGAUGCAUAGGGAUUUGAAGCCAGAAAAUUUCUUGCUGGUUAGUUGGGAUGAGAAUUCUCCACUCAAAGCCACUGAUUUUGGACUCUCUGUCUUCAUAGAAGAAGGGAAGUCUUACCAUGAGCUUGUAGGAAGUGCUUACUAUGUGGCUCCAGAGGUGUUGAAGCGGAACUAUGGAAAGGAAAUAGAUGUCUGGAGUUCCGGGGUCAUUUUAUAUAUUCUUCUAAGUGGUUAUCCUCCAUUUUGGGCUGAGACUGAUAAAGGAAUAUAUGCUGCCAUCCUAGAAGGACAAAUUGACUUCAAAACUUCACCCUGGCCUUCCAUAUCAGAUUCUGUGAAGGAUCUUAUCAAGAAGAUGCUAACACAAGACCCCAAAAAACGGAUUACUGCUGCCCAAGCCCUUGAGCAUCCAUGGUUGAAGGAAGAUGGUGAAGCAUCUGAUAAACCUCUUGAUAGUGCUGUUCUGACUAGAAUGAAGCAAUUCAGAGCAAUGAACAAGCUAAAGAGGAUGGCUCUAAAGGUAAUAGCAGAAAACCUUUCAGAAGAGGAAAUCAAGGGAUUGCAACAAAUGUUCUACAACAUGGACACUGAUCGUAGUGGUACAAUUACCUAUGAAGAGCUGAAGACUGGCUUGUCUAGACUGGGAUCCAAGCUAACCGAGAAUGAAAUCAAGCAGUUGAUGGAUGCUGUAAGAUACUAAAUAACUGUCUCUUUGACGUUAAUUUUUCACUACUUUUUAUAUGCCUGAUGUUCAACAUUUUUUUCGAGCUCUCAGGCUGAUGUCGACAAGAAUGGGACCAUUGAUUACAUUGAAUUUGUUGCUGCUACCAUGCAUCGCCAUAGGCUAGAGCAAGAAGAUAGUUUAUUCAAGGCUUUUCAGUAUUUUGACAAAGAUGGCAGCGGGUUUAUCACAAGAGAUGAACUGAGACAUGCGCUGACUCAAUAUAGAAUGGGUGAUGAAGCUACUAUAGAUGAAAUAAUUAAUGAUGUGGAUACAAAUAGAGAUGGAAAAAUCAAUUAUGAGGAGUUUGUAGCGAUGAUGAAAGGGACACAUGAACCCAAUGGAAGACAAGCAAAGCACAUAGAAAAGCAAACGGAUGCAAGAACUGUAUCUCCAAAAUUUUUAAAUACACCAGCAAGAAAUCUUACACCCAUCAACCGAGAUUUCGCAGAAAAGCCAAAAAAAAAAAAAAAAAAUCCAUAUCCCAUAAUGGGUAUCUGUUUCACCAAAACCAAUCAAAUUCCAAUCACUUCAUCUCCAGACAGGCCUACUCAACAACCGUCCAAGAAAACCAAAGAACAACAAAGCAAAAAACCUCAUCAACAAUCGGACGCAGCUUCUCUUCCAACUUCACUAUCCAAAGCCACUUCUUCUUCCCAGAUUGGAACCAUUCUAGGAAAACCCAUUUGCGAUUUAACCUCAAUUUAUGAUCUUGAUAAAGAGCUGGGAAGGGGGCAGUUUGGGAUCACCUAUCUUUGCACCGAAAAGGCAACCGGACGGAAGUAUGCUUGCAAGUCAAUAUCAAAGAGGAAGCUUGUGAAUAAGAGGGAUAUUGAAGAUGUUCAGAGAGAGAUAAUGCUCCUUCAGCAUCUCACGGGGCAACCCAAUAUUGUGGAGUUCAAGGGAGCUUACGAGGAUAAGCAGAAUGUUCAUGUAGUAAUGGAGCUAUGCUUGGGUGGAGAGCUAUUUGACCGAAUUACCGCAAAGGGAAAUUAUUCAGAGCGUGAAGCGGCGACCAUAGGUCGACAAGUUGUGAAUGUAGUCCAUGUAUGCCAUUUCAUGGGGGUGAUGCAUAGGGAUUUGAAGCCAGAAAAUUUUUUGCUGGUUAGUCGGGAUGAGAAUUCUCCGCUCAAAGCUACUGAUUUUGGACUCUCUGUCUUCAUAGAAGAAGGUAAAUCUUACCAUGAGCUUGUAGGAAGUGCUUACUAUUUGGCUCCAGAGGUGUUGUACCGGAACUAUGGAAAGGAAAUAGAUGUCUGGAGUGCAGGAGUCAUCUUAUACAUUCUUCUAUGUGGUUCUCCUCCAUUUUGGGCUGAGACUAAUCAAGGAAUAUCUGCUGCCAUCAUAGAAGGACAAAUUGACUUCAAAAGUGCACCCUGGCCUUCUAUAUCAGAUUCUGCAAAGGAUCUUAUCAAGAAGAUGUUAACACGUGACCCCAAAAAACGGAUUACUGCUUCCCAAGCUCUUGAGCAUCCAUGGUUGAAAGAAGAUGGUGAAGCUUCUGAUAAACCUCUUGAUAGUGCUGUUCUGACUAGAAUGAAGCAAUUCAGAACAAUGAACAAGCUAAAGAAGAUGGCUCUGAAGGUAAUAGCAGAAAACCUUUCAGAAGAGGAAAUCAAGGGAUUGCAACAAAUGUUCUACAACAUGGACACUGAUCGUAGUGGUGCAAUUACCUAUGAAGAGCUGAAGACUGGCUUGUCUAGACUGGGAUCCAAGCUAACCGAGAAUGAAAUCAAGCAGUUGAUGGAUGCUGCCGAUGUCGACAAGAAUGGGACCAUUGAUUACAUUGAAUUUGCUGCUGCUACCAUGCAUCGCCAUAGGCUAGAGCAAGAAGAUAAUUUAUUCAAGGCUUUUCAGUAUUUUGACAAAGAUGGCAGUGGGUUUAUCACAAGAGAUGAACUGAGACAUGCGCUGACUCAAUAUAAAAUGGGUGAUGAAGCUACUAUAGAUGAAAUAAUUAAUGAUGUCGACACAAAUAAAGAUGGAAAAAUCAAUUAUGAGGAGUUUGUAGCCAUGAUGAAGGGAACACAUGAACCCAGCGGAAGACAAAAAUGAACCACUUGAUCAACCGGAUAUAAAUAAGAAAGUUUAAGUUUUUCCGGUUUCAACAGUUUAAUUUGAUUUCCAGGUUGCUUUUUCGUUUCUGCUGUAUCAAUGUUUAUGCCAUUUAUAGGAUGUGGUUCGUAAUUCAUACAGAGAUGAGAGAUGAUGAUCUUCUCCCUCUGGAUUGGGUUUUCAGUUUUUACCUGUAAAAUUGGAAAUACUUAAUAAUCCCAAUAUUGUAUUUUUCUAAUAAUAUGAAUAAUAUGUGGCCAUUUGUAUAUG